rnacentral:rRNA from 1 species
GCUGGAUUCGCUAGUAAUCGCGCAUCAGCCACGGCGCGGUGAAUACGUUCCCGGGCCUUGUACACACCGCCCGUCAAGCCAUGGAAGCCGGGGGUGCCUGAAGUGCGCUGCCGCAAGGAGCGCCCUAGGGUAAAACCGGUGACUGGGGCUAAGUCGUAACAAGGUAGC